UUAAUUGAAGAGUUUGAUCAUGGCUCAGAUUGAACGCUGGCGGCAGGCCUAACACAUGCAAGUCGAACGGUAACAGGAAGCAGCUUGCUGCUUCGCUGACGAGUGGCGGACGGGUGAGUAACGUCUGGGAAACUGCCCGAUGGAGGGGGAUAACUACUGGAAACGGUGGCUAAUACCGCAUAACGUCUUCGGACCAAAGUGGGGGACCUUCGGGCCUCACACCAUCGGAUGUGCCCAGAUGGGAUUAGCUUGUUGGUGGGGUAACGGCUCACCAAGGCGACGAUCCCUAGCUGGUCUGAGAGGAUGACCAGCCACACUGGAACUGAGACACGGUCCAGACUCCUACGGGAGGCAGCAGUGGGGAAUAUUGCACAAUGGGCGCAAGCCUGAUGCAGCCAUGCCGCGUGUAUGAAGAAGGCCUUCGGGUUGUAAAGUACUUUCAGCGGGGAGGAAGGGGUUGCGGUUAAUAACCGCGGCCAUUGACGUUACCCGCAGAAGAAGCACCGGCUAACUCCGUGCCAGCAGCCGCGGUAAUACGGAGGGUGCAAGCGUUAAUCGGAAUUACUGGGCGUAAAGCGCACGCAGGCGGUCUGUCAAGUCGGAUGUGAAAUCCCCGGGCUCAACCCGGGAACUGCAUCCGAAACUGGCAGGCUUGAGUCUCGUAGAGGGGGGUAGAAUUCCAGGUGUAGCGGUGAAAUGCGUAGAGAUCUGGAGGAAUACCGGUGGCGAAGGCGGCCCCCUGGACGAAGACUGACGCUCAGGUGCGAAAGCGUGGGGAGCAAACAGGAUUAGAUACCCUGGUAGUCCACGCCGUAAACGAUGUCGACUUGGAGGCUGUUCCCUUGAGGAGUGGCUUCCGGAGCUAACGCGUUAAGUCGACCGCCUGGGGAGUACGGCCGCAAGGUUAAAACUCAAAUGAAUUGACGGGGGCCCGCACAAGCGGUGGAGCAUGUGGUUUAAUUCGAUGCAACGCGAAGAACCUUACCUGGUCUUGACAUCCACGGAAGACUGCAGAGAUGCGGUUGUGCCUUCGGGAACCGUGAGACAGGUGCUGCAUGGCUGUCGUCAGCUCGUGUUGUGAAAUGUUGGGUUAAGUCCCGCAACGAGCGCAACCCUUAUCCUUUGUUGCCAGCGCGUGAUGGCGGGAACUCAAAGGAGACUGCCGGUGAUAAACCGGAGGAAGGUGGGGAUGACGUCAAGUCAUCAUGGCCCUUACGACCAGGGCUACACACGUGCUACAAUGGCGCAUACAAAGAGAAGCGACCUCGCGAGAGCAAGCGGACCUCACAAAGUGCGUCGUAGUCCGGAUCGGAGUCUGCAACUCGACUCCGUGAAGUCGGAAUCGCUAGUAAUCGUGGAUCAGAAUGCCACGGUGAAUACGUUCCCGGGCCUUGUACACACCGCCCGUCACACCAUGGGAGUGGGUUGCAAAAGAAGUAGGUAGCUUAACCUUCGGGAGGGCGCUUACCACUUUGUGAUUCAUGACUGGGGUGAAGUCGUAACAAGGUAACCGUAGGGGAACCUGCGGUUGGAUCACCUCCUUACC
rnacentral:rRNA from 1 species